GGGGAGCAUUUAAAGUUGAAAUGUUGCCUGAUAUACCCUUCCUACAAGAAGAUAAUCUCUACUUUCCUGCUUGUUGUAUGCUAGUCAUGUUCACAAGCCUCUUGGAUAUGAGAUACAUAU